UAUUCACAGUUACGCACCAUUUCCUCUUCUCUUGUUACCGUCGCCGUGAAAUCGCCGAUUUAGGGUUUUUUGAGAAAAAGAGUUUUCUCCGCCAUGAGAGCCAAGUGGAAGAAGAAGCGUAUGAGGAGGCUUAAGAGGAAGAGACGAAAGAUGAGACAGCGAUCUAAGUAGAGAGAGAGAGAGAGGAGACUCAUCUUGAAGACUUCGGUUUUUCAAUAUCUGCUUCCCCCUGUUUCUGUCUUUUUCGCUUAUAUCUUAAGUACUGUUGUCUGAACUCGUUUCAAGUUUUUAAGUUGUUCUUGGCUUCGUUUUUUGUUGGAUUGUAUGGAUCCUCAAGUAAUGUUAAACCUUGAUCUUUCUAAUCAGUUUCUUUAUCGAUGAUGUUAUUAUGA